rnacentral:tRNA from 1 species
GCAUCGGUAACUCAGUAUGGUAGAGUGGCGGAUUGAAAAUCCGCUGGUCACUGGUUCAAGUCCAGUCCGAUGCACCA